rnacentral:tRNA from 1 species
UUCCCUAUAGCUCAGAUGGUAAAGAAUCUGCCUGCAAAGCAGGAGACCUAGGUUCAAUCCUGGGUCAGGAAG